GAUGAAGAACGUAGCGAAAUGCGAUAAGUAGUGUGAAUUGCAGAAUUCAGUGAAUCAUCGAAUCUUUGAACGCACAUUGCGCCCUUUGGUAUUCCAAAGGGCAUGCCUGUUCGAGCGUCAUUACAACCCUCAGGCCCCCGGGCCUGGCGUUGGGGAUCGGCGGAAAGCCCCCUGUGGGCAUACGCCGUCCCCUAAAUACAGUGGCGGUCCCGCCGCAGCUUCCAUUGCGUAGUAGCUAACACCUCGCAACUGGAGAGCGGCGCGGCCAAGCCGUAAAACACCCAACUUCUGAAUGUUGACCUCGAAUCAGGUAGGAAUACCCGCUGAACUUAAGCAUAUCAAUAAGCGGAGGA
rnacentral:misc_RNA from 1 species